GUAAGUUUAGUUUAACAAAAACGUUAGAUUGUGGAUCUAAAAAUAGAAAAGUUAUAAUUUCUAACCUACC
rnacentral:tRNA from 1 species